CUACGAACCCCACGGGAGGGGUCAGUGCCCACCAGCAGGCUCCUUGGCACCAAGCCUCCAUCUUCUUCCCGGGGUGGAGGGAGAUGUCAAGCCUAGAAGCCUCAGCUGGCCUGUUCUUGGGCGCCUGGCCUACCACCCGCCCCAGCCUCACCCGCAGGGUCUCCAACUCCUUGCGCGCCUGGCUUAGCUGUUUUUCCAGUUCUGCAAUCUUGGCCAUGGAUUCGUUCUCCGCGUCCCGAAGCCGCUCUGUCAGCUGUAGCACCAGCACAUGGUGAGCCCCGACCCGCAGCCCGGCACUGGCACCGCCGGUGAGGGGGCGGCAUCAGGCAUGCCUGCCUGGAAGACUGGGGGAGGCUCCCAGAUCCGCUCAGCCCAGGUGCCAAGGGUGGGCCGAGCCUGGCACUCGAACCCAAGCAAAUAAGGAGAGGAAACCAAGUUCCUCCAUGUGCUCCAGCACAGCGUUCUUGGUCUCUGUGUCCUCCAGCAGCGCCCCCACAUCAAAAAUAUUGUCCAGGUACGCCUGGAUCUGCACCUGCAGCUUGUCACUCUCGAUGGCAAAACUGACACUGAGAGAGAGGAAGAGGCCUAUCCAAGGUCACACGGCAGGCAACGGCAGAGCCAGGAUUUAAACCCAGGUCUACCUGACCCCAGCACUCAUGCUGCUAACCACUCAGCCAUACUCUGCCGUGGGCAGGCAGUUCAGUCUGGGGGGCAGUACAGGGCUUACCUCCAAGUACAGGUCCAGGCCCAAGUGGGUGAACUCAUAUUGCAGGAAGACACGGAAGUUCAUGUUCUCCACCGAAUGUACCACAAUGUUGAUGAACUGCAUGCAGGCCACCUGGGAGCCAGGGACAUGGGGAGAUCUAUGAUCCUCUAGGUGGGGUUGCUCAAUGCCUUCCACCUCCACUUACCCCAAGCCUCCCUCCUUCUCCACAGUUCUCACUCCACUAACUCCCAGCCUUGGCCUGCCCAACAUUUCACCUCCAUGUUCCCUCAAUCCAGCCCCCUGCCAACAUCCACCCUUCCCCUACUGACCACUCAGUCCUUACGCUUUGCGGGGGCAGAGCCCAUUGCCCAGCACCCAGGACCCUAGCUGCUCCCUGCACCCAAGAGGGCCUGGCCCAGGCCUCAGGCUGCUGGGCUCCUGAGCUCACCAUGAAGUCGAUGUUGCUGUCCUCAUUCCGGAAAUAUUCCAUCAGCUUUUCAAAGCGGUGCUGCUCCCCACACACCUGGGUAAGGGGAAUGGCUCUCACUGAGGCCCAGUGACACACGUCCUAAGCUACCUUCUGGCUGCCACACCUGUGCUUCAACAGGCUCCUCUCCAGUUAAUUCUAAGUUGAGCCACGUCACUCUUCUGCUCAAAACCUCCACUCCCUCUCAAUCUCCCACUCUCCCUCACUUUUUCCACUCUGGCCACACUGGCAUCCUGGCACAUUCCCACCCCAGGGCCUUUGCACUUACUGUUCCAACUCCCUGGAGUGCCCUCACUCCCACACCAAGUCCCUUGCUUCCUUCACAGCUUUGCUGAAAUCUCACUUGCUCAGUGAGGCCUUCCCUGACCACCCUGCAACCAAUUCCCCCUCCCUCUGCAACAUUGCUGGCUUUUUUCUCACAGCAUUUAUCAUUUCCUAACAUACUAUGUAAUUUGCUUGUUUAUUAUAUCGUUUCUGUCUUUCCCUAUAUGGUUUCCUUUGUUCACUGAUGUGCCCAAGUGCCCUGUUCCUGACACAUAGUAGGCACUCAAUAAAUAUUCAUUAAAGGAA
rnacentral:lncRNA from 1 species